ACUCUCUGCGUUACGGUCCGCGAUAUACGUCGCAGCAGGGUGGUGAAUUGGUGGCUGUUGAUGGUGGUGGUACAUAUAUGAAAUGGAGGCCUUGUGACGUGAACCAAAAGUGAAAGAGAGAUAGAACGAUAAGACGAAAAGAGGGAGAGAGAAGGUGUUAAAGAGAAGGGAGCACGUAUCGAGGGUGUAAAGCAGGUAGAUGCAAGAAGCACGACUAGGAUGGGGCCAAGAAUCAGAGAAGAAAGGAAGCAGCUAGAAGGGGGCAGUAUGUACGGAGAGAGCAAUAGAGGAGAAUGUGAGAUUUUCCAGCCAGCUAAAAAGUCUAGACACGGAAAUUUCAAAGCUGGCGAACACAGAGAAACGGCGACGGUGGUUUUCUGAGCGCACGGAAGCGGCACGUACACCAACG
rnacentral:misc_RNA from 1 species